rnacentral:rRNA from 1 species
UACGGAGGGUGCAAGCGUUAAUCGGAAUUACUGGGCGUAAAGGGUACGUAGGCGGUUACUUAAGUCGGAUGUGAAAGCCCCGGGCUUAACCUGGGAGGUGCAUCCGAUACUGGGUGACUAGAGUAUGGAAGAGGGUAGUGGAAUUCCGGGUGUAGCGGUGAAAUGCGUAGAUAUCCGGAGGAACACCAGUGGCGAAGGCGGCUGCCUGGUCCAAAACUGACGCUGAGGUACGAAAGCGUGGGGAGCAAACAGG